rnacentral:lncRNA from 1 species
AAGCCGUGUUUUUUAUUGUCAUGGCAUGAGGUUACGUUUUUCUUCUCUCAAAGAUGCGAUAGGGAAAAAUUUUGUUCCUGUCUCCCUAAAUGAACUUGGAGUUGCGAGGUUAAUCCUAGGUCCUGCUAUAUCAGUGAGGGGCAGCAACUUAUUGCCUGCCUGAGCUCUGCCAGUUGGUGGAGCGGAAGAGGCAUUGAUCUCCAGAGAUUUGGGAAUGCAAUGUAAAUUCCCACUUCUAUUGUUCUUUUGCUCCUGGUGACUUCAGAAGAGCUACCUGUCCAGAACUGCUAUUUUCACUGCUGACAAUACCCCAUGUGCAUCAAUGACAGUAACUUCUCCUGGGAAUCUGCCCCUGAUGCCAGACAGGUCACGGCCUGUUUCCUAGAAGGAGCGGAGUUUCCCAUGCAGAACAGCUGAAGGAUUGCUCAUUACAUCCUGGGAGCUUCUGCCAAAGCUGCUCAGGUGUUGCUUGGCUUGCCAGUUGGGCUGAGCUGUGCUCAUGGUGUGGGGUAGGAACUAAGCAGCUGGGGCUGCAGGGUUAAAUGAGCUUAGGGAAACUAGACUGGCCACCCUUCACUUCGCAAAAGUUAACAAAUGCAGAACAGCAGCCUUCCUGAGGUAAACCCCAAGGUUGUGUAUAAAGUUGCUUUUUAUGGCUGUCAGCCUGUUUCUCAGAACCUGCUGAGACAUCUGCUUUUUUUCUGAAGCCACAAUGAAUUCCAUUCCUACCGCUGCGUCCUCUCUUUGUGUGCUUUUGUCUCUGGCAUGCUAACGAUGCUACUAUUCUAAAUCGUCAGUUGCCCUAACUAAAGGGACAGGAAAGAGUGGGUUAUGCUAGAGAUAACAAUGUCCAUCUGUGACUGCCAUGAUGGAAAUAGUAAAACCUGAGCGGGCAGAGCUUGGCUUCUAGAAAAGAGAGUUUGUGAAAAGAAUCUUACUUCUGUUGACAGUACUGGGCUUUUAUUCUUCUUGUACCACGCUGACCACCUGCUUGAUGUCAGGCCAGCUUCUCCAGCUGCCUCUGAAGAGGUGACUGUACACCUGCAUUUUGCCUGUACCUUAGUGUCAUCUUUCACUGAUCCAUGAAUUUUACUUCUGCCUAACGUAGUUCCGUUUUCCAACUCUGAAAAAUACACAUUCUAAAUGCUUCCAUGCAUCUGCUUCCAUGUUUCUUCCCUGUACUGUCGUCCCAUGUGCUGUUUAAUUGAAAUACCAUUUGCUUUGCAGGUGUGCUAGUAGCUGUCCUCGUUCUUCAGUGGAACAAAAUGUUGCGCUGAACAGGAGGAAAUGCAGGAUAAUUUUAGAAGCUAAGAGGAUGUAUGAUUUUCUGGUUUUCUUUUUUUUGUGUCUGUGUCUAGAUUUUUUUCAGAAGAUGGGCUGAAGUUAGCAGGAAAAUGGGCACUGGGCGAGAAUGUGCAUAUUGAUCAUCAGUGUUUAACGCUCAAAAGGGCUGUUGAGCACAUGAAAGAAUGUGAGUGUGAAUUUCUAACAUCAUGUGUUGAGAGCAACUUUCUGCACAUAGACAGACAGGCCAUGGUUGUCCCCUCUUAGGGACUUUGUGCCAUUUUUUCAUCUGAAUGAGAUGUUACUAUUUCCAAGGCUCUAAUCUCAUGCAGUUCAGCUGAAAAAACAUCAGCCUUCUGCGGAUCUUUCUAUAUAGGCAACCAUGUAAAUGACUCAAUGGUGUGUUGGAAGAAACUCAGUGUGCUGGUUUUCCAGCAUGUUUGGAAGCUCUCUAGUGUGGUGUCAGUGCCUCCUGGCACCCAGCAACUCUGCCUGCGAGAAGGAAGCGUGACCCCCUGAAUGUGCAGAACUAAGGGGUAAAGAGCAGGGCAGCAGCCCAAACUGCUAAUUUGGGUUUCCUUAAGAAAACGGUGGAGUUAGAUUUCCUUGCUAAUUGCAGUUCAGUAGAUCAUUUCUGGAAAACAAUGUGUUUCAACGUGGUAGUCUGAUUAAAAAAGGAAGUGGGGCUUUCCCACUGCUGACUUACAAGAGGAGUUAAGCAGUGCAGGUCACUUCUUGCUGUGUAAGGCCAGGCAGGUUGCAGGCAGACUGGGUGGAAGUGGAGGUGACUGUCCCCACCCUGGACUGCUUGAGCAUCCUGUCAGGACUCACGGAAAAGAUGUGCAACUGUGGGCCUGAUGGAGCACUGUGACCUGUGCUCCACUGGGGAGGAAGAGGGAAGCAUGCCCUCUCAGCUAUUGCAUUGACGUUAAGCUUGAUUUAUAUCAAGCAGCUGGGGAUUUCUGCUAACUGAUUUUUACUUAGGGUGACAUACUGGCACAGUUCUGCUUUCCUUACUGGCAGCACAGAAGAUUAAAAAGUAACUCCAAAGUCUUCUUUGUAUUGUUUGUUUCCUUGCUGCACUCACCAACAGGGAGCCGGUGCUCUUUGUGUCCUGCAGGCAAUGCCAAGAAAACGCACCGAGCUUUGAUGGACACAUUGCAGAGUAUUUUCUCGGACACCUCAGAAGAUAUAGCAGUGAGAAAUGCCUGGAUGUGAGAGAAACUUGGCAUAUUUUCAUGUCUGCCUUGAAUAACCCAUCCUGCUGGGUUGCUCGCCUUUUGCCUACAAGUGGGUGUAGCUCACUGUGGUUUUGCAUGAGGUGAGGUGAUUCCUGUGUGUUCUCACCCAAAAACUCAGUUUAGCACAAAGCUAAGGUAGCAAAACCUGACCCCUCCCACGUCAAGCUUGCGAAGAAUGGAAGUGACUGCUAAGUGAGGGAGAACCACUGGCCUUAGCUGCUCUGUUCCUUGUGAACUUUAUGCUCUCAGAGUCUUCACGCUGUGCUGUGCAGGAUAAAUCUGUGUAAGAAACUUCAUGUUGAAUUUGGGCUGGAGAAAACUCCUUGCUAAGCUCGGUGCUUAAAAGUCAACAUGGAUAUGUUGUUGAGCAUUUAUUUUUGUCAUGUAAGCAACAGUGUGCAGACAGGCUGCCCAUCUAUGGAAAAAUCCCUAUGUUCCCACAGGAAUGGGAGCUACGUUUCUGCCAGACAAAAACGUAUUUUCCUCUGUCCUUUCCACCACAGUGGUAAUGGUCAAUCUAUUCAGUGCAAACAGUGGAGGGGCACAACUAGCCAUAGAAAGCAACAAGCGCACCCCAGUAUCUAGAAAAUAGUUAUGCUGAUUGCAGGGGAAGGAGGGUCAUUUGAAAAGAUCAGGCAUGGAAGUCUCAAAUGGAACAAACAACUGACUUCACUGAUUAGGGCAGAGCUCUGGUUUCCUGAAAGCACUCGUCAGGAUAUUUCCUAUUGUCUUUAAAGUUAACUUUUGGGUGUGGGGUCUCUCUUCCUCAGUCUUUCUUGUAUUCGCUGAAAUAUCAGUAUUUUAAUAGAAGAAAGGAGGUAUUCCUAGUGACUGCACAAUUGCCCCUUCCCCUCAUAGUCUUUUAGGGGGAUAAGUGGUAAAUAAUAGGCAUGCAAUAUUUGCUAUUGUCUUAAUUUGUUUCAUGUGGAUGUUAUGAUGAUUUCUUCAACUUUGACGAGCAACUUUGACGAGUACUCUGAGUGCAUUUACACCACUCCUGGGAGAGUGAAAGUAAACCGAACUCCAUGCCCUUGCUUCAUUUGCAUCUAUCACGUAUAGAAAGGCUGUUUUAAUGGUGUGUGUAUAAUCUAGUCCAUUACAGAAUGGAUAUGGGCAGGUACAGCUUUCAUAUGUCGUGCUGAUAUAUAUUUGUUAAUCAUUCCUCCUGAAACCUGUGGGAGGUAGUUUUCAUCUAUAUUUGGAGCUGACAAACAUUUAUGCUCUUUUGAGGAGAUAUUUAGGUUGGAGUUCUUUCUCACGGAGGAAACGCCUCUGAACAGGCACUCAUGAGAAGUGGGGUUGUUAACGCAGCCGUUGUCCCAAAACACUGUCUGUCUUCGUUGAGAUGUAUGAUUUAGAUGUUUAGAAAUCGUUCUCCUAUUUUGGCAUGCACAUUUAGGGCAUGUAGCAGUGUAUUUAUUUUCAAAACAAAGCAUUUAUAGUCAUCUUCUUACAGUACAAAUAACAAGGCAAAAUGAAAACAGUACUUCAUCAUCUUUGCUGCCAGAAGUUGGCUUCGAAAAAUAGCAUAAAAGCGAAAAAUUGCAACUUUUGCCUUUCCCACUGAAAUGGUGGAGGGAACCUUCAGUGCUAUUAACAAAUGUUUUGUGGGAAGUAUUUCAAGGUUUGAUAGGUCUUUAUUUGGAAGCGUUCUGUAAUGUUUCAAUUUACCUCUAUAAACUACUAUGAAAGCACUUUGUGCUAAAGGAUAGUUUGCAAACAACACGAAGAGUCAGAAUUUUACAUUACCACUUGGCUGCCUUGAUUUGAAGGAAAGCAAUUACAGUGAUUAAUAUGUCCAACAAAACAAACAAGCUGUGCUGAGAUUUCAGCGGUCGUGCAGGAAGAGGUGAGACCCACCAAACCACAGUUUGCCUCGCUCCCUGUGAGCAAUGCUGUUGAUAUAACGACCCAGCUCAGACAGGGAAGGAUUUCUAGUGGCUGCCACUGAUUUCCUACAGGAGGGCACUGUGGAAGGAAGGAGAGGUGGUACGCAUGGGGAAAGAUCAAAGUGCUUUCAGAGAUCUGCAGUAGUAUCGCAUUCUUCUUUCGAUUACGUGAGUGCAGCUGAAGACCUGGAGCAGCAGUGAUGAGGUGCAUGCACUGCAGCUACUCCCUUCCCUAUUCUCAUAGGAAGCUCAUGCGUUGAGGGAAGAAGUUCCCAGAGCUUUCUGUGCUGGUGAAAGAGGCAGCUGUGCUAAUUCUGAUACCGAGUAUUCUCUUACAAACUGAGAUGCUGCAAAACUCCUCAGAAGAGCAGAAAAGGAAGACUUACACCUCUGUCUGACACAGUUAAAAUCUCUCCCUGUGCACUUAUCAGCUUGCAUAUCUCUGUGAAACUCUGUGCUUCAGCGAGGGCUACAUCACUAGGCAACUACUGCAAAGAAACAUGAGUUCUACAGGAUUUCAGGGAAGAAUUCUUCCUCUACUUUUGUUCACUUCUGAGUUUGUUUCUUGGCACCCUCUUCCUUAAUGUGAGGUCAGCCAGAGUACUUUCACAGUUUUUCCUGUCUGUUUUGUCGUUUGUUUCUGUUUCGCAGGCUUACAGCUCCGAAGUCUUUCCAAGAGAGAAGAGAAACCAAACUGGAAGAUGAGAGCAUUGCACAGGCACCAAAUGCUGUUUCUGUUCAACCUUUGUUUCAUCGAGAAAAGUGGGUGUCUAAAAUCAAAGCACGCAUUACUUCCCAUCACUUACUUGUAAUCUGAGACUAGUGUUUUAGUGGAGUCUGCUGCCAGACUACAGAGAAAAGGAAACUUAGUGGAUCACCAGGUUUUUCAGCCUCUGAGAAAGAUAACCAACCAAGCACCAAGAGACAGGAUAGAAGCAUGAAGGUGGUAAUUAACCACAUAGCUGAUUUUGGACUGUUACCAUGCUACCAGAAAAACAUGCUGGGAGAAGCCAUCAUCCACCGUGAAUGAGUUUUCUUGUAUAUGGAAUCCACUUGUUUAUGAGACUCACUUUAAACAAUAACAGAAUCACAAAAUCACAGAGUUGUAGGAGUUGGAAAGGACCUCUAGAAAUCAUCGAGUCCAACCUCUUCUGCUAAAGGAGUUCCCUGCAGCAGGUCACACAGGAAAGUGUCCAGGUCGGUUUUGAAUAUCUCCAGAGAAGGAGACUCCACAACAUCUCUGGGCAGCCUGCUCCAAUGCUCUGCCACCCUCACAAUAAAGAAGUUCUUCCUCAUGUACGUAUGGAACUUCCUGUGUUCCAGUUUGUGCCUAUUUCUGUUGUCCUGUCACUGGGCUCUGCUGAAGGAGACUGGCCACAUCCACUUGACUCCUGCCCUUUAGAUAUUUAUCAACAGUGAUGAGAUCCCUCUCAGUCUUCUCCAGACGGAAUAGUCUCUCAGCCUUUCUUCAUAAGGGAGAUGCUCCAGGCCCCUAAUACUCUUUCUGGCCUUCCACUGGACUCUCUCAAGAAGAUCCCUGUCUUUCUUGAGUGAGGAGCCCAGAACUGGAUGCAGUACUCCAGAUGUGGCCUCACUGGGGCAAAGUAGCUGGGGAGGACCUCCUCCCUCAACCUGUUGUCCACACUUUUCAAUGAACCCCAACUUUUAGAGUCCAACUGGUCCCAGUAUUGUUCUGCCAAUGAGGAAAAGCUCCAGAGUGAAAAUGUUGGACUCUGAUUAUGCUUUGCUGUCAUUCAGCAGCACUCAUCCUUCCACCUCUGUCUUGAACAACUGUGUGACUGGUCUUUCCUCGCAGUAAUGAAUUAAACAGUGUAUAACCAAGUAGUUAUCAAUACAGAUUUUGUUCUCAGAGUUUCUUUGAACUUUAGUUUCAACUAGACAAUCCCUGGCACCAAAUCCAAGAAAAGAAAAACAUGAGGAAAAUAGUGAUGUAUGGGGAUUGGUUAUAUAUUCAUAAAGCCACUAAUCACAGUUUCUUUUCUCUCUCAUUUUUGCUAGGCUUUCUUUGUCUAUUUUCAGGUCUUAUCUCUAUAUGAACACUGAUAGCAGAUAAAUCAAGACAACAGCUUCCUUCAUUUUUAGGAGUUUUGUUAAAAUUGACUUUCUCCCUCUGACAUGAAUAUCAGUUUAUAUCUCAAUCAAAUCUGGAAUUGUAGUUUAGAGAGAAAAUACAUAAAAUAUGCGUAGAAGAUUUUCCUAUGUCAUCCCUCUCACAGACACUUUCUGUUACUUUUAGAUUUAUUUCAGAUUAUUGUUUACUUCGCAAUCAUUAAUAAUUUACAGAAGUAAAGGCUUUUGUUUGUUAGUGAUUUGUCAUAACUGGAAUAAUGAAAAUAAUUAUAUAUAUCUCCAGUUCUUCAGUUUUGUAAAGUUCUGCUAAACUCAAGUGUUCAAGCUGUAAUAUAUCUCUUCUACUUUGGGUCUUACCAUUGAAUGACCUGACCUUUUAAUAAAGAUUUUUGUUUCCUAUGGUGCUUGAUUUCUUUGGCUAAGUAAUAAAAAGUAUGUGACACUUAAGAGCUUCCUACUUCCCUACUCUCUCUUAUAGUAGAGUGCUUAUGUAAUGAAGAGUGAUUGCUUGCAAGUCCAGAGAAAGAAAUCCUAAGCAUAUCUGUAUCUUCCAGUUGAUGGGUAUUAAAAAAAAAAAAAAAAAAAAUAACCAAACUGCCUGUCAGCCUUGGGAAGAUAAAGAGGACAGAGCAGUGUGAAUGAAUUCAUCAGCAACAAAUGACAGCAAACUUGUCUGAUUUCCCUCUGUGACCAAGUAACAGACAUUAUGAAGAGUCAAGCAGCCGUAUCUAUCUGUCUGUCUGUGGUAUAUCUUGACUUCUGUGGUAUUUUUGAGGCUGCCUUUGACAAUUGUUACCUAGAUGUAUUUUGAUAACAUGCUAUAGUUGAAUGCACAGUAGUUGCAAAAUUCUAAAUAAUUAGACCAGAACAAAGUAAAAAUGAAAGGCUGUGCUAUUGGAGGUUAUAUAUUGAAUUGUUCCAAGUCGGGUUUUGAAUUUUUUUUUUUAACUAAUGACUCAGUUGAAGGAAAAGAAAAUAUCUAUUAAAUUUACAGACAUUAGAAAGCUGGCAGAAGUUAUAUAGGCACUAAAGGACAGGUUUUGACUUCUGUAUGAUCUUGAUAAAUUAGGUGUUUUAUAGAAAGACAGGUGAUAGUUCAAGAAGACAAGUGCUAAAUACUAAACUUUUAUAGCAAAGUGAUUGGUAAUGCAAAGACUGAAUAAGAACAACAGCAGUAUAAUUAAUCCCCUUGACAUCAGAUGAAGAUUAGUUGCAUAGGUUGUUGGAAGGGAAAAUGUCUUAUCACUGUUACUGCUUGUUCUAAAAAAAUGAUUGUUUUGCACUGGUCAUUGUAACAUAGAGUAACACUCAGCAGCAGACCCUCUCAGAGAGAACUGGGUUCUACUGUCUGCGCAGAAAGGCUGAGGUUACCUUAACUGGAGACUGGAAUCACUUAUGCAUGUUCUUGUGUUGAUAUCACAAGAAAUUUCCCUCCUUAUGAUUUCUUGCACUGCCACCGGUUAAGUUGUAAGGAGCUAAUUCUACUGCUGUCAAAGGAUUUCCU